rnacentral:tRNA from 1 species
UGGCCCUUAGCUCAAUCUGGCAGAGCGCUCGCUUUGCAAGCGAGAGGCUCCGGGUUCGACUCCCGGGGGCGUCCA